rnacentral:rRNA from 1 species
GUGAGUAGUUCAGAGUUUGAGUCCUGGCUCAGGACGAACGCUGCGGCGUGCCUAACACAUGCAAGUCGAACGGAGUUGACCUUCGGGUUAACUUAGUGGCGAACGGGUGAGUAACGCGUGAGAAACCUGCCUUUCAGUGGGGGACAACAGUUGGAAACGACUGCUAAUACCGCAUAAUGUACCGAGAGGGCAUCCUCUUGGUACCAAAGAUUUAUUGCUGAAAGAUGGUCUCGCGUCUGAUUAGCUAGUUGGUGAGGUAACGGCUCACCAAGGCGACGAUCAGUAGCCGGUCUGAGAGGAUGAACGGCCACAUUGGGACUGAGAUACGGCCCAG